AACGAACGUUAGCGGCGCGCCUAACACAUGCAAGUCGAACGCGACAGGGGCAACUCUGUUGAGUGGCGCACGGGUGAGUAACACGUAGGUAAUCUCCCCUCGAGUGGUGGAUAACCUUCCGAAAGGAGGGCUAAUACAGCAUAAGACCACGGCUUCGAAAGGAGCUGAGGUCAAAGCGGAGGAUCGCAAGACGUCGCGCUUGAGGAUGAGCCCGCGGCCCAUCAGGUAGUUGGCGGAGUAACAGCCCACCAAGCCUAAGACGGGUAGCUGGUCUGAGAGGAUGAUCAGCCACACUGGAACUGAGACACGGUCCAGACUCCUACGGGAGGCAGCAGUGGGGAAUCUUGCGCAAUGGACGAAAGUCUGACGCAGCGACGCCGCGUGGGUGAUGAAGGCCUUCGGGUUGUAAAGCCCUGUGGGGAGGGACGAAUAAGUUGCAGCUAAUACCUGCAGCGAUGACGGUACCUCCUUAGCAAGCACCGGCUAACUCUGUGCCAGCCGCCGCAGUAAGAC
rnacentral:rRNA from 1 species